GAUUCUGGCUCAGGAUGAACGCUAGCGGCAGGCUUAACACAUGCAAGUCGAGGGGCAUCGGGAGUAGCAAUACUUGCCGGCGACCGGCGCAAGGGUGCGUAACGCGUGAGCAACAUGCCCGUAUCAGGGGGAUAAUCCAUGGAAACGUGGUCUAAUACCCCAUAGUAAUUAUGUAAGGCAUCUUAUAUAAUUUAAAGCUUUGGUGGAUACGGAUUGGCUCGCGUGACAUUAGCUAGAUGGUAAGGUAACGGCUUACCAUGGCUACGAUGUCUAGGGGUUCUGAGAGGAAGGUCCCCCACACUGGAACUGAGACACGGUCCAGACUCCUACGGGAGGCAGCAGUGAGGAAUAUUGGACAAUGGAUGGAAAUCUGAUCCAGCCAUGCCGCGUGCAGGAAGACGGCCCUAUGGGUUGUAAACUGCUUUUGUAUGGGAGCAAUAAGGGCUACGCGUAGUCCGAUGAGAGUACCAUACGAAUAAGCACCGGCUAACUCCGUGCCAGCCGCCGC
rnacentral:rRNA from 1 species